GGGCUAGCGUUGCUCGGAAUCACUGGGCGUAAAGCGCACGUAGGCGGCUUCUUAAGUCAGGGGUGAAAUCCUGGAGCUCAACUCCAGAACUGCCUUUGAUACUGAGGAGCUCGAGUCCGGAAGAGGUGAGUGGAACUGCGAGUGUAGAGGUGAAAUUCGUAGAUAUUCGCAAGAACACCAGUGGCGAAGGCGGCUCACUGGUCCGGUACUGACGCUGAGGUGCGAAAGCGUGGGGAGCAAACAGG
rnacentral:rRNA from 1 species